UGUCAGCAGCCGCGGUAAUACGGAGGGUGCAAGCGUUAAUCGGAAUUACUGGGCGUAAAGCGUGCGUAGGCGGUUUAUUAAGUCGGAUGUGAAAUCCCCGGGCUCAACCUGGGAACUGCAUCUGAUACUGGUAGACUAGAGUGUGGGAGAGGAGAGUGGAAUUUCCGGUGUAGCGGUGAAAUGCAUAGAGAUCGGAAGGAACAUCAGUGGCGAAGGCGACUCUCUGGACCAACACUGACGCUGAGGCACGAAAGCGUGGGUAGCAAACAGGAUUAGAUACCCUGGUAGUCCACGCCGUAAACGAUGUCAACUAGCCGUCAGGCUCGCUUUAGAGUUUGGUGGUGGAGCUAACGUAUUAAGUUGACCGCCUGGGGAGUACGCUCGCAAGAGUAAAACUCAAAUGAAUUGACGG
rnacentral:rRNA from 1 species